GAGGGUGAAAGGCCCGUAGGGGUGGGGCUCAGACUCUGACAGUACUUCCCUGAUGAGACCUUGGAGUCGGGUUGUUUGUGAAUGCAGCCCAAAGUGGGUGGUAAACUCCAUCCAAGGCUAAAUACAAGCACGAGUCCGAUAGUAAACAAGUACCGUGAGGGAAAGUUGAAAAGUACUUUGAAGAGAGAGUAAACAGUGCGUGAAACCGCUSAGAGGUAAACGGGUGGAGUUGAACUGCUUGUUCUGUGAAUUCAGCUGGUGACUGUAUUAUGAUCUUGGUUAUUUUGAUUGGACAGCGGGGUCUGUGUAGCAGCAGGUCUUUGCCUUCGGGUGAGGAUGCGCGAUUUACUUAUCAAGUAAUGUGCGCCCCGUUUGUUCUUCGAAUCGGUUGCCAGUGCACUUUCUCAGAGCGCUCAUCACGACCGGCACUGCUGUCUGGCUGUUAUGGUUAAACCGGUUUGGCAUAGUUCUUGUAGCUUUGUCGAGUCGGGACGGCAGGUAGCUCGUUGGCUUGCUUGUGGUUCGCUGCAGGUGUUCGGCUUUCGGGUGUAAUCAGCUGACCAUGAUGGUUCUGUACAGUGUGUCGGAGACGGCGGCUUGUGGUGUGUGCAUGUGUGGUGGUUUGCAGGCGUCUCUGGGUUUGGUUGCCUUGUUCGCUUGUCAAAGCAAGCCUGGCRAUAGCCKUGAGACGUUCUGUGGGCUGCUGCAUGUGUGACAUCUUCACAGGGCCGACAGUCUGUGAUGUUGUGGUAGACUAUCCACCUGACCCGUCUUGAAACACGGACCAAGGAGAGUAACAUGUGCGCGAGUCAUUGGGCGUAACGAAACCCA
rnacentral:rRNA from 1 species